UAGGGAAUCUUCCGCAAUGGACGAAAGUCUGACGGAGCAACGCCGCGUGAGUGAAGAAGGCCUUCGGGUCGUAAAACUCUGUUGCCGGGGAAGAACAAGUGCCGUUCGAACAGGGCGGCGCCUUGACGGUACCCGGCCAGAAAGCCACGGCUAACUAC
rnacentral:rRNA from 1 species